rnacentral:rRNA from 1 species
CCUACGGGGGGCAGCAGUGGGGAAUAUUGGACAAUGGGGGGAACCCUGAUCCAGCCAUGCCGCGUGUGUGAAGAAGGCCCUCGGGUUGUAAAGCACUUUCAGUGAGGAAGAACGCCUGGUGGUUAAUACCCAUCAGGAAAGACAUCACUCACACAAGAAGCACCGGCUAACUCCGUGCCAGCAGCCGCGGUAAUACGGAGGGUGCGAGCGUUAAUCGGAAUUACUGGGCGUAAAGCGCGCGUAGGUGGCUUGAUAAGCCGGUUGUGAAAGCCCCGGGCUCAACCUGGGAACGGCAUCCGGAACUGUCAAGCUAGAGUGCAGGAGAGGAAGGUAGAAUUCCCGGUGUAGCGGUGAAAUGCGUAGAGAUCGGGAGGAAUACCAGUGGCGAAGGCGGCCUUCUGGACUGACACUGACACUGAGGUGCGAAAGCGUGGGUAGCAAACAGGAUUAGAUACCCGAGUAGUC